CACCUGCUAUGUAUUUUUUGAGUGGUGGUUUAACUGAUUUUUCUAACAUUGGUAAUUGGUUUAAGAUUUCUGGAAGUAUUUUCGUCACCUGUUUUGUAUUUUUUUGAGGUUCAUUUUACUUUUCUAACAUUGCUAAUUGGGUCAAGGUAUGUUACUUGUCACCUGCUAUGUAUUUUUUGAGUGGUGGUUUAACUGAUUCUUCUAACAUUGAUAAGUGGUUUUAGGUGUCCACAAAUAUAUUUUUCACCUGUUUUGUAUUUUUUUGAGGUUUAUUUUACUUUUCUAACAUUGCUAAUUGGGUCAAGGUAUGUUACUUGUCACCUGCUAUGUAUUUUUUGAGUGGUGGUUUAACUGAUUUUUCUAACAUUGAUAAGUGGUUUUAGGUGCCCACAAGUAUAUUUUUCACAUGUUUUGUAUUUUUGGGGUGGCGGUUUAACUGACGUAUAACAUUGCCGCCAAGAAGCUACAUUCAAGAAGCCUAAAACACAUAAGGUAGCGGCUGGUUUAUCAUGGGUUUGUUGGUUUGUGUUCAAUUUUAGGUUUGGUUUAAUUAUCCCGAUGGUUGGUUUUAAGAGUCACAGGUUAGAGUGGCGUGUGUGAGGGGGACACGACCUCAUCUGACCUGACCUUGACCUGACCUGAUCUGACCACUCUUGUUUUAUACCUGUUUUAUACCUGGUCCAAGCUAACACGUCCGAGCUGAACAAUAUGACAAACCGUACGGAAAAGAAAUGAAAGAAAAAAACAAACUAAAAAAAUGUAUAAAAAACGUAAAUGGAAAGAGUUUUAAAGCGAUUUAGAAUUUCGUGGAGUUUAGGAUUUUUUUUGGCGUGUGUUUGUUUGUUUGUUUGUUUGAUUGGGUUUUAUAAUCGAAAUAGGAAGAUUAGUUUGGAUUUUUAUUUUUUAAGAUUUCGUCGUUUUUUUGGAAUUUUCUCAAGACUGGAUUUUUGUGAGGAGGAGUUUUCUGUACUUUUUUUUUUUUUUUGAGGUAGUGGAAGCCUUGAUGCCCGACCCUCGCCUCUCCCCGCUUUAAAAAAAAUAGAUAAAAAACACAUUCAAACGACGUGUGUGUAAUGGGGCGUUGAAUCUCUUUGUGUAAUGGGUUUAGGCUCAUUACAUUAAACCAUUACAUUAAACCAUUACUCUUUUUUAUAUGGUUACCGUUUGUGAAUGAAGACAAGAGUAUCUGCUUAAGUUUUGUGGUUUCAUCAGUUCCUGUUUUAAGUUUUCGUUUUAUAGUUUUAUUUUGUUAAUUUUCGAAAGUGCUUGGUUUUGUUAAGGAAAUUGGAAGUUAAUGGGAAGUGAUUUCGAGGGGGAGAGGGGGAAGGGGGGGGGGCGUCACGGCUGCCAUACACACACACACACACACACACACACACACACACACACACACACACACACACACACACACACACACACACACACACACACAUUCACUCAAACACGUUCAAAUCUCCCUCCCCACAAAUAUAGUUAUUUUUUUCUUGUAUUAUUAUUAUUUUUUUUUUAGUAUUAAUGAAGGUACAAACACAUUAAAAGAGGAGAGACAAUCAGUGCAGUGUUAGCUUUAAAAACAAACAGACAAAAGAACAAUAAUAAUAAAGAUAAUAAUAAUAGUAAUAAUAAUAAUAAUCACACUAAAUGAUUUUGGUUAAUAAUGUGAGCCUAACAAGACAGUAACAAAUAAAUGAAAAAAAUAAUUGUUAGUUUAUCAGUCCAUACCGCGGUGCUCUUAGAAAUAGUAUAUAUAUAAUAAGUCUUGUGAGUGAAAAUCAUAAUAGCAAUAAUAAUAAUAAUAGCAAUAAUAAUAAUAAUAAUAGUUGGGCCAAAAAAUGAAUGCACUUUAUAUUAUGUUAUGGACCACUAGAGAGACGCAUGCUUGUGGCUGAAGUCAAAGUACAGCAGGUUUGCAUUUGACAGGUGUAUCUUUGACUCCUAACCCUCAGGUGUGGCCGUGCCCUCUCGCGACACACCUGCUAGGAUUGGGGGUAAGGACAGGUAUGGGGGGCAGGUAUAGGCCUUCACCUGUCCUGGGUAAGGGGUUGGUAAUGGGUUGGACAGGUGUGAAGGUGAGGUUUUUACAGGUGAUGAGGUUUAGUUUAUGUGGUUUACCUGGUAAGUUUUAUAUUUGGUUGUGGUUGUUAUUAUUAUUUGUUGUUAUAGUGUUUGGUGUGUGUGUGUGUGUGUGUGUGUGUGUGUGUGUGUGUGUGUGUGUGUGUGUGUGUAUGGUAAAACACACGAAGUACAUCAAAAAAAGGAUUAAGAAGAAAGAGGGGGAUAAAUAUAUUGAAAACUUUUAUGGUUUAUACAGGCUGUUUACACACACACACACACACACACACACACACACACACACACACACACACACACACACACACACACACACACACAAGCGUCCAGAGUGUCAUGUUGUGAGGGGUCGGGGGGUUGAGGGGGUGGGGGUGGGGGCAGGAUGAAGGCGGCAAGAACAUUGAACUAGAUAUCUAAGUCAAAAAUACUUUAUAAUAUGAUAUGCAAACCGGAGGAGUCUUCAAAGUGCCAUCAUGUAACGGAGAAACAGAUGGAUUAAGAAUAUCAAAGUUCCCCCUUCAAUAAACCCCGAAUCCCGUUUUCUUUCACGCCUCAAAAACGAAAAACGGGGCACAAAUUAUCACAUCAGAGCUUUGGAUAAUGAAGUUUUACGUUAUACAUUCACACUUUCUUUUGUUGUAGCUCCAGUAUGCCUGUUUUUGUUAUAUUUUCGUAUCAAUGAAAGAAAACGGGGUCGGUGUUAUUUCAAGGGGAGGCUAUAGCAGUUCCUACACCUGGUCGUCUAUCUAGUGACAAUUACAACAUUGCCAGAAUAAUGUGAUAGGCCGAUGAAGGCGAGUCUUUGUAGUGUGCCGAUAACAUAUAUGUCUGCCUGUGUGUGUGUGUGUGUGUGUUGUUUAUAUAAAUUUGAAUAUGGUCCUAUGUAUGAUAUUCACGAAAAAUGCAGGGAAGUGAAGGGAAGGAAAAGGUGCGGAGUGGGAUGAGGAAUGUAGGGAGGGAGGGAUGGAAGGAGGGAGAGAGAGAGAGAGAGAGAGAGAGAGAGAGAGAGAGAGAGAGAGAGAGAGAGAGAGAGAGAGAGAGAGAGAGAGAGAGAGAGAGAGAGAGA